ensembl:misc_RNA Y_RNA Y RNA
GGCUGGUCCAAGUGCAGUGAUGUUUACAACUAAUUGAUCACAAUCAGUUACAGGUUUCUUUGUUCCUUCUUCACUCCCACUGCUUCACUUGACUGGCCUUUA